rnacentral:rRNA from 1 species
UAACACGUAGGGCGCAAGCGUUGUCCGGAAUUAUUGGGCGUAAAGAGCUCGUAGGUGGUCUGCCACGUCUGCUGUGAAAAUCCAGGGCUUAACCCUGGACUUGCAGUGGAUACGGGCAGACUAGAGGUAGGUAGGGGAGAAUGGAAUUCCCGGUGUAGCGGUGAAAUGCGCAGAUAUCGGGAGGAACACCGGUGGCGAAGGCGGUUCUCUGGGCCUUACCUGACACUGAGGAGCGAAAGCGUGGGGAGCGAACAGGAUUAGAUACCCUGGUAGUCCACGCCGUAAACGUUGGGCGCUAGGUGUGGGGUCCUUCCACGGAUUCCGUGCCGCAGCUAACGCAUUAAGCGCCCCGCCUGGGGAGUACGGCCGCAAGGCUA